CACCAAACUAUUACUGGCACAUCAGGAUGACAAGUGGCAAGGUGGCCUGUCCUGAGACUGAGGUCAGAGAGGAGAUCCAGCCACCCUCCUUAUGGGUUCCCAGUGCUGUCCUGAGACAAGUCUUCUGCUUGCUUGGUAAGCUUCUGCUCACUAGGCCCUUAAAAACAACCUCAUGUUUCACUUCCACUUCCUUCCCCAGGCUUCCCUCUCACUUUCUUACUUUCAUCAUUCCUGUGACUGAGCAAGUGUGCCUGCACCCCAUUACCAAAACUCUCUUUGCAUCAGUCUCUGGGAUGAUGAGUCCACUCUUCCAUUAAGGUCUAACUUUCUACCCCUUCCUUUGAUCUCCUGCUGCUCUUUCUUCUCCACGGCUUCCAACGGGCCUUACUUGGCUGGCCAGGUAGGCGCCUGCUUCUGCUGGGUCUGGUGGCAUACCGGGACGCCCUUGCCGCCCCCGGAGGAGCCGCUGCUCCCACCACUGGAGAAGCAGCCCCCGCCGGCCCCGGACCCGGAGGAGCCGCCGCCGCCGCCGCCCCCACAACUGGAGAAGCAGCCCCCGCCGCCCCCGGACCCGGAGGAGCCGCCGCCGCAGCCGCCGCCGCUGGAGAAGCAGCCCCCGCCGCCCCCGCCCCCGGAGGAGCCGCCUCCGUAGCCCUGCUGGGGCGUGCACGAGGUCUGGGGGGUCUGUUGCGACGAGAAGCAGCCGGAGCCGCCCCCGGAGGAGCCGCCGCCGCAGCCGGAGCCGCCCCCCGAGGAGCCCCCGCCGCAGCCGGAGCCGCCGCCCGAGACACCUCCGUAGCUCUGGCACUGGACCUGCUGGCCGGAGCCGCCGCCGCCGCCGCCGCCGGAGUAGCCUCCGCAGCCGGAGCCGCCGCUGGAGGAGGAGCCGCCGCCGCAGCCGGAGCCGCCGCCGCCCCCGGAGUAGCCUCCGCAGCCGGAGCCGCCGCCGCCCCCGGAGUACUUGACGCUCCCACCCGAGCCGCCGCCGCCGCCGCAGCCACCGGAGCCGCCGCCGCCGCCGCCGCCGCCGCCGCCGCCGCCGCCGCCCGAGGUCUUCCCGAAGCCCAUUGGAGGCAUGGGGGUGGGCUGCUUCUUCUGGUGAGACAUCUUGCGCAAGCAGGAAGCGAACCCUGA
rnacentral:lncRNA from 12 species